GACACAUACAGUCCUGUACACUCAAAUUCCUGCCACCGGUUCCAUCGUCCUUGAAAUUAAAAGCAGGAUCCGUUAGGGGGCAGGAGAGAGCUGGAUUUGCAAGGCGGAGCAGAAAAGCCACCCUUUUCCUCAAUAGAGGUCAUGGGAUCUUAUCUCGGUCGGGCGUGGUGCUGCCUGCACCGCCAGAGCAUCACCCAGCUGAAUGGAGGAACCUCCCGGGUGGGGGGAAAGAUUCUGAGCUAUGACCGGGGAAACUUCUUUUGACGGCUCAACAACCUUCCUUGCAUCUGGGGGGCUCCGAUGCAUCUGCUAGUCCUUCUGAUCCAGAGAUCUACAAUUGUCACUUUAAAGGAUUACUCUGGGGCUGCAGCCGAGCGAACAGAAUCCUCCGAGUGGAGCUGACGAUUCCCAACUUCUCACCGAAGCUCUCCACUUGCAGCAUCUUCCUGCAAGGACUGAAAGAGGGAAGGAAGGAAGGAAGGGAAGGAAGGAAGGAAGGAAGGAAGGAAGGAAGGAAGGAAGGAAGGAAGGAAAGAUAGAUUUUUCUGAUCCUCCCUUGAAAUCCUCCCAUCCGGCUGUGCUGGAAAGGCAGUGGAUUAUGGCUCUACAGAAGCAGGUGGAAAGUUGACCUACUCUGCAGGGUUGGUUUCCCAAGGCAGCCACCAAGUACCAAAAGGAGGCAGGAGGAAACUAUUUGCUGAGAAAUAAUAAUAAUAAUAAUAAAAAAAGGAUAGGUGAACAUCUGGAGAGGGAGCGGUGCCAUUUUCACCUGCAAGGGCUAAUCCUUACCCUCUGAGGGUUUUAAAAGCCCCCUUUUUAAGGAGGCUGAGAGGGGACAUUGAGGCUAUGAAGAUGGCAGCAUCUCCAGCGUGAAGCUGCCGAUUAAUCUGCACCCACCUUAUAUUCUAGCCGGAAGAAAAUUUGGACAAUGCUAUUGUGAAUCCUCUUGGAUAAUCCUCGAAAUUGCUUCUCCAAAAAAGCCCUCCCCACUCCGCCCCCUUUCUCUCUCUCUCUCUCUCUCUCUCUCUCUUUUAUUUCUCCAUCUGCAAUGUGAUCAGAGGAGGAGGAGGAGGAAGAAGAAGAAGAGGUGGGGGAGGAAAGAAAGAAAGCACAAGAAAGCACAAGGAGAGCUUUCUUCCCUGUUCCAGGAUGCUCACUUCUAAACCUCUGGAGGAGGAAUAUUGGAUUGAAGGAUCCCGAAGACAAUCGGCUUUGCAGGAUUUCUAUCUUAUGGGACCGGAGCUGGGCAGGGGGGCCACCUCUGUGGUUUACAGCUGCGAAGAGAAAGGAUCUCAGGUCCAGUAUGCUGCCAAAAUAUUGAAGAAAACGAUUGACAAGAAAAUUGUCAGAACUGAAAUUGGAGUUUUGCUGAGGCUCUCCCAUCCAAAUAUUAUCAAACUCAAAGACAUCUUCGAAACCCCCACAGAGAUCACGCUCAUCCUUGAGUUGGUGACAGGUGGUGAGCUGUUUGACAGGAUUGUGGAGAGGGGAUUUUACAGCGAAAGGGAUGCAGCCCACGUGGUGAAACAGAUCCUGGAAGCUGUCUCCUAUCUGCAUUCAAAUGGAGUUGUCCACCGUGAUCUCAAACCAGAAAACCUUCUCUACGCAGAUCUCUCCCCUGAUGCUCCUCUCAAAAUUGGUGAUUUCGGUUUAUCUAAAAUUGUGGAUGAGCAAGAUACGAUGAAAACCGUAUGCGGCACACCAGGAUACUGUGCACCCGAAAUUCUCCAUGGCUCACCAUAUGGCCCUGAAGUGGAUAUGUGGUCUGUAGGCGUCAUAACAUACAUUUUGCUGUGUGGCUUUGAGCCCUUCUUUGACCCAAGAGGAGAUCAGUACAUGUACAGCCGAAUCCUAAAUUGUGACUAUGAGUUUGUCUCCCCUUGGUGGGAUGAAGUGUCCCUCAAUGCCAAGGACCUGGUGCAAAAGCUGAUUGUCCUGGAUCCCCAGAAGAGGCUAACAGUCCAUCAAGCCCUAGAGCACCCUUGGGUGACUGGCAAAGCUGCUAAGUUUGCUCACAUGGACAGCACCCAGAAGAAACUGCAGGAGUUUAAUGCAAGGAGGAAAUUAAAGGCUGCCGUGAAAGCAGUGGUGGCAUCCAGCCGUCUCGGCAACCACAGCCACCACGAGGGAUGCAGAAAUGAGCGCCAUCAGGAUGCUACCAAAGAAGAAAGUGCAGCUCCCUCAGCAGAGAGUGGCCUCUUUCUCCAAGAAGGGAACCUUUACAAGGAGGUUGAGAAGAUGGAGACUGACACAGAAGAAGCCAUGACCAUAAACACCCCUUUAGCCAAGGUCGAGAAGCUCGAAGGUUUCCAGAACGAGAGUCCCGUAACCCCUGUGAUGAUACUUAAUGGUUCCGGCUGCAACACUUAACCCUAUGGCCCAUCACCGCAUUGCUCUUGUCACCACCAAGUGUCUGUCACCACCGCCCGAUAGACCAAAUUCUAACAAUGACCAUCAAAGACUACCAGCCGGAUUGAGAGAGCAAUUCAGAUGGAGGCGGACCGAAAGCUAGUUGAAAUUAUGAGAAAGUGCUACGGGGACAUCUUCUACAACCUGGCAUCUUCUGGUUAUAUGGGAUUCCUGCUCCUAUCAUCUUCAUCCAGGGUUGAUGGGAACUAUGAUCCAAUUUUUUUUGGGAGAGCACCAGACUAGGGACGGCACUAAGGAUAGGCUGCUCUGGGCUGAAGAGCCGUUUGUCUUGUUUUGCAGAGACAUCCAUGUUCUUUAAUAUCUUUUCUGUGUGUGUGUGUGUGUGUCUUUGUGUGUGUCUUUGUACACACAAGCAUACAGCAAAAGGAUAAGAAUACGUGCAUUUGUUUGGACCCAGGUAGCUUAGAAAUCAUAUAUAUAUAUGAUGAUAUAUGUAUAUAUCAGUCGUGGUAUUCAGCCAGUUCUAUCCGGUUCAGGCGAAUUGGUAGGGGCGACUGCGGGAUGCCCCGCCCACCCGCACGGAUGUCAUGAUGUCCCAUUUUUUCAUGUUUUCGAGGCUCUGUGCAUAUGCAGAAGGCCUUGUGCAUGCACGGAAGCGCGGAAAUGUGCAUGUACGAACCGGUAGGGAAGGUAAGUGAAUACCACCCCUGGUAUAUAUAUAUGAUACACACACACACACACACACACACUACAAACUAUUCUAAAAAUACAAGCUCCAGGAUGUCUGCGUCUUUCUUUGUAUAUACACAUAUAUACAUACACUACAUACACACACAUACAUACAUACACACAAUAAAAAUAGGAUGAAAUACAUACAUAUAUACAAACAUAACGUGUGUGUGUAAUAUAUCCCAAUUUUUAUUGGGUAAAUAUUCUUGGUGGCUCCCUAAAAGGCAAAACUACCAGAAGUUUAUUUCUUUUCUAUUUGAAAUCCCAUAGUAAUAAUUCAGGGAGAAGCGGGAGAAAAGAACUUUUCUUCUAUUGCUGCAUAAGAUUCUUUUAACUGCAGGCACCAUCUUUGAAUCUGAGGCGUUCCACUCUCAGAAUAUCUGCUCUAAAGCCACUGCCGUCUUUCUAUUCAGCAAAUACCUUUGAACCAUGUAUACCCAGAAGGAUAAGGUGCUUUUCUACCUAGUCAGUGAUUUUUUCCAACUGUUUGUGAGCCAGAUGGAAUACAUUAAGGAACAGCUGCCUCCAGAUGCACCCUCCAACCAAUAAAUAGGUGCCGCCAUU